rnacentral:rRNA from 1 species
UACAGAGGUCCCAAGCGUUGUUCGGAUUCAUUGGGCGUAAAGGGUGCGUAGGUGGCGCUGUAAGUCGGGUGUGAAAUUUCGGAGCUUAACUCCGAAACUGCAUUCGAUACUGCGGUGCUUGAGGACUGGAGAGGAGACUGGAAUUCAUGGUGUAGCAGUGAAAUGCGUAGAGAUCAUGAGGAAGACCAGUGGCGAAGGCGGGUCUCUGGACAACACCUGACACUGAGGCACGAAAGCUAGGGGAGCAAACAGG